CCGGGCGGGGCCGCUCCCGGUGUCACUCGGAGCCGCCGCGGAGCGCCCGCUGCCGCCGGGGGGCGGGGGCCGCGGGCUCCGCCGCUCCGCAGCAGCCGGUAGCCAUGCGCUGGUUUAGUUGCUCGUAGUGCUGAAGUAAAACUUCUAUCCUCCCCAUGCUAACUGUUGACAUGGAAAACAAGGAAAAUGGCUCUCUGGAUGUCAAAAAUUCACUAGAGAAUGGGAGACCUGUGGAUCCUGCUGACUGGGCUGUUACUGAUGUUGUGAAUUAUUUCAGAACAGCUGGAUUUGAAGAACAAGCCAAUGCUUUUCAGGAACAGGAAAUUGAUGGCAAAUCAUUACUGUUGAUGACAAGAAAUGAUGUACUGACUGGACUUUCAUUAAAACUGGGGCCUGCGCUGAAAAUCUAUGAAUAUCACGUAAAACCUCUACAGACACAACAUCUAAAGAACAACUCUUUAUAGCUAAUUGUCUUAUUGGGGUCAUGCUGUGCCUCAAAGGAAAAAUAAGCAAUUUGGUUUCAUGUGAUGGAACUUUGUAAAGAGAGAAUAUAUCUGUUAAGAGUUUAAACCAAAUUAGAAUAUAUAUCCUAUUGGAUAGAGCUGCCAAUAUACUAUAUGCUGAGUCUGAACUGGGAGAGGUGGUGUGUAUUUUUUACAUAGUACAUAAUGAUUUUCUCUUUUAGGAAGUGUCAAUGAGCAUGUUGAGAUAGCUACAUCACUGUAUCCAGAACAAAAGGGAGGAGAAGCCCUGGCCACAGUUCACCAGUAACAUCUGUGUUUCUCUUACCCGUGUCUGGAGCUGUCAGUGCUGCGGAGCUGCUGUGCUGGCCCUGGUACACAGGGUGCUGGCUGAUGAGUUGAGCUGGUACAUGUUAUCUGUGUGACAUUGGUUGUGCGUGGAGCAUGAUGAGCAGCUGAGGCGGGCUGUGUUGGACUCUCCUGGGCAGUUAUCAGAAUUGAACAGAAACAGGAUGGGAAAGAAUCAAAGAACAAAAGAUAAUAUGUCUGUGCACUCGAAAUACCCUGUUUCUUGGUAGGAGACUUCAUCCCCUAUGAACUACUGGGAUGUGGCCCAGGACCAGCAAGGUUAAUGUUAUCAGCAAGUAGUAUUUUAAACAGCAGUUUUACAACCUGCUAGCUGCUGCUCAUUUUCAUCAAGUGGGGUGGCGUCAGCAAAGCGUCACAGCUGCUUCUGAGCAAAACACAGUAAGCAGCUUGAAUAGCUCCUUAGGACAGGAACUGAGAAAAACAUCUGUCUGAAUGAAAUUAAUGCAAGUCCAUGGUGGAGACUGAAUCUAAUGAAGCCAAUGGGAAUUUGGUCAGAUUUCAGGCCCAAGUGAGUCUGGCUAACUCACAUUUUCAAGAAUUAUUUAUGCCACUGUUACCCUAAUCUUGUUGCCAUAUGGGAAACUGGGGCUGCUUCCGAUUGCCUAAGUGCUUUCUUUAGAAGCAAUCUGCCCACGUAAGUGACUCAGGUUUGCAGUGCUGGAUGGAGCUGCACUGAGAUGCUCCAAAGACAGUGAAUGUCUGCCUGUCUGUGGAGGCUUAUACAGACCACACUGAAUGAGUGUACAUGUGUGCUUGUUGCCACAGGAAAGGCUCAGUAAACAACUGCUCACUGCUUUGUGUCCUCAUUCUGCCAUGGAGGUUAGUCCAUUACUAUCUUGCAAGGCCACAAAAGCACAAAAAGGAAUGAAAGAAACCUUGUGCCUAAUGCAAUAAAUUUCUUAUAAGGUAGAAAGGAAGUUGGUUGUGCAGAUCUGCCUUGUUUCAGAGAGAGGCAAAUGCUGAAAUGUUCAGUAAGAUUCUUUUUCAUCUAUUGGUAGUGAAGUGUCAUUUGGAAGAAGAUUGGUCACUUUUUGAGGUGAUAUUGGAUGAAUUAAAAUAGUUCUUUUACUUAAAAUGUUCACCUUUAUAUAUAGGUAGUAAAUAGUCAAAAGCUACUUUGUUUUUUGAUGUUGCUCUUUAUUUGCCUUUAAAAGAUACAUUAAUAAAUUAAAAGCACCUAGAAGUGACAGAAGUAGCAAGACAUAAACCCGCAAGUACAAUACAACACAAUCUAAGAAGGUAAGCAAGAACGUCCCCAGGAAAAGCUAGAAGUUUUGUAAAUAAAGCUUUCAGAAUUGGCUGGUGGCCAGAGAACAUCACAGCUGGGACAGCCUCACUCCGUGGUGUCAUUUUUCCUGCUGUUCAGGGGAUAGCUCAGGCUGCUGGACUGUUCUUCUCUUGCAUCUGUUACACCCUGCUCAUCAAGGCAAGUUUCUAUCUUGCAAAGCACCUCAAAAUAUCACACAGAGCAGGACAUCUCCCCCAUUUUUGGUGCCUAUGAAUUUAAUGAUUGUACCCAGAGCAGUGCUGCAUGUCUGCCAAACUCAGGAGGCACAAAGGCAACUUAACUACAGUUUUUACUUUGGGUACUUCCCACUCGAUUUGUACUCUGUCACAUGGAGUCUGUGAAAAUGACACUCGGAGAAAAUGAAAGAAAGGGUUAGAAGCUGUUGGAAGCUCAGGAUGAUUCCUGUUGCAAAUGUGGUAGCCACAGUUUGUGAGAUGAGAGUCAUUGACUGUAUUGUUUUAUCUCAACGUUCAAAGAUAUCACCUGGGGUAACUAAAAAGUAGAAUAUGCAUUAUCUGUCUAGUUUUCUCCCUACCCCUCCCAAAUGUAAUAGGGCUACAUAGGUUGACUCCUGCCUGCUCAGAAGUCAUGAUAAGAUUAUUAGAAUAAAGAAAACUAUUUAAUUAAACCUACAGAGAUAGCCUAAACCCUCAAAUGACCUCAGUGAUUACUGUAAAGGUACUAUAGUAACUACAGUCUGAUGAGUAGCAGCAGCAGUCAUGCAGUCAGAUUACAUGCAGAGAAAGUAGUCAACAGCUGUAACUAUUACUCCACAAAGGAAAUAUGAGAGAUGCUUUUUUUUCCUUCCUCAUUUUCUGCCUAAAGAAAUCCUGAUUCUGACUGAUUCCCCAUUCAGUCACUGGUUCAGAACCUCAGCUCUGUAGAUCAGUGUGGCAUCAAGGGAUCAUGACAGGUUAUGUCAAUGAAACAGCAGGUCUUAUGCCUGUAUAUUCAUUUUACUGAAGAAAUAUUAAUAAAGAGAAUAUAGAGAUUUCCUGAUUUUAUAUGUCAAAAACAUGUUACAGGCAUCAAAUUAUUUGUUUCAUUAAAAGGUCUAGGAAUAGCUAGUUUAAAAAUUAAUUUACCUAAUGUUUCCAGCUGGGAUUUUCCAAAGAGCUUAGGACACUUCAGUCUGCAAAUCGCUCUGGAAGUCAGGGACAGACUUUGAUUUCCAAUUUCCUGAGCGUCCUUCAUAAAUCCCAUGUUCAGGAGUUCAUAGAGGGAAAAGUAGUCAGCAGUAGAAGAGGCCAAUAAGGAGUAAACAUUGAUAGGAAAGCCAUGCUGUUAAGUUUAUCAGGAAGG